rnacentral:rRNA from 1 species
ACCGCCCCCUUUCUUCAUUCCUAACACAUGCAAGUCGAACGGAUCCUUCGGGAUUAGUGGCGGACGGGUGAGUAACACGUGGGAACGUGCCCUUUGGUUCGGAACAACUCAGGGAAACUUGAGCUAAUACCGGAUGUGCCCUUCGGGGGAAAGAUUUAUCGCCAUUGGAGCGGCCCGCGUCUGAUUAGCUAGUUGGUGAGGUAACGGCCCACCAAGGCGACGAUCAGUAGCUGGUCUGAGAGGAUGAUCAGCCACACUGGGACUGAGACACGGCCCAGACUCCUACGGGAGGCAGCAGUGGGGAAUCUUGCGCAAUGGGCGAAAGCCUGACGCAGCCAUGCCGCGUGAAUGAUGAAGGUCUUAGGAUUGUAAAAUUCUUUCAGCGGGGACGAUAAUGACGGUACCCGCAGAAGAAGCUCCGGCUAACUUCGUG